UACAGAGGUCCCGAGCGUUGUUCGGAUUUACUGGGCGUAAAGGGCGCGUAGGCGGCGAUUGCAAGUCAGUUGUGAAAAUCUCCGGGCUUAACCCGGAAAGGUCAACUGAUACUGCAGGGCUAGAGUGCAGAAGGGGCAACUGGAAUUCUCGGUGUAGCGGUGAAAUGCGUAGAUAUCGAGAGGAACACCUGCGGCGAAGGCGGGUUGCUGGGCUGACACUGACGCUGAUGCGCGAAAGCCAGGGGAGCGAACGGG
rnacentral:rRNA from 1 species